CUCGUAGGUGGUUUGUCGCGUUGUUCGUGAAAACUCACAGCUUAACUGUGGGCGUGCGGGCGAUACGGGCAGACUAGAGUACUGCAGGGGAGACUGGAAUUCCUGGUGUAGCGGUGGAAUGCGCAGAUACCAGGAGGAACACCGGUGGCGAAGGCGGGUCUCUGGGCAGUAACUGACGCUGAGGAGCGAAAGCGUGGGUAGCGAACA
rnacentral:rRNA from 1 species